rnacentral:rRNA from 1 species
UACAGGGGGGGCAAGCGUUGUUCGGAAUUACUGGGCGUAAAGGGCUCGUAGGCGGCCAACUAAGUCACACGUGAAAUCCCCAGGCUUAACCUGGGAACUGCGUGUGAUACUGGAUGGCUUGAAUUCGGGAGAGGGAUGCAGAAUUCCAGGUGUAGCGGUGAAAUGCGUAGAUAUCUGGAGGAACACCGGUGGCGAAGGCGGCAUCCUGGACUACUACUGACGCUGAGGAGCGAAAGCCAGGGGAGCAAACGGG